AAUCUGCCAGUAGUCAUAUGCUUGUCUUAAAGAUUAAGCCAUGCAUGUCUAAGUAUAAGCUUUUAUACGGCGAAACUGCGAAUGGCUCAUUAAAACAGUUAUAGUUUAUUUGAUGGUCUUUACUACAUGGAUAACCGUGGUAAUUCUAUGGCUAAUACAUGCGCACAUACCUCUUCCCUCGUGGAAGGGUAGUGUUUAUUAGAUACAGAACCAACCCACCUUCGGGUGGUCCCCAGGUGAUUCAUAGUAACCGAACGGAUCGCAUUAUGACCUUUUGGUCGGCGAUGGAUCAUUCAAGUUUCUGACCUAUCAGCUUUCGACGGUACUGUAUUGGACUACCGUGGCAGUGACGGGUAACGGGGAAUUAGGGUUCGAUUCCGGAGAGGGAGCCUGAGAAACGGCUACCACAUCUAAGGAAGGCAGCAGGCGCGCAAAUUACCCAAUCCUGACUCAGGGAGGUAGUGACAAGAAAUAACAACACUGGAAAUUAUAUUUCUAGUGAUUGGAUGGGGAUGGGAA
rnacentral:rRNA from 1 species